rnacentral:lncRNA from 1 species
UCCAUGGGCCCCAGCGCUAACAGGUCACAGCGGUUGUUGUGCUCUACAGAGACUAUCAUGUGGGCCCUAUUCUCUAGAAUUGUAUCCAUGCAUAGUUUGUUACGUACGAAUCAAAUCAGGUAACCGUCCAUGCAUGCGGUUUCUGCGGGCGGGCUCAUUGCGAUUAGGAGCAGGUUGUUGAGAUCCGAAAUUUCUGCCAGAUGCCAACUGAACCAGCUCUUGAGUAUUAAAACCGAACCCCCGUGACUCCCUGCACUAUCUCAUCCGCUGCUGGGAGCUUGCAAUCUUCCAGGAACGUUUUUUUGGUGCUAGCCGAGAGAGAAUCGAGAGGAAGAGAGAGAGAAAACCAUGCGCUGUAGCCUGCUUGUGAAGCCACAAGGCCUCGGCUGGUCGCUCAGGAGGGAUCUCACCGGUGGGCGCUAGAAGGUUGGACAACCGAUGUCGCGGGGUGUGAAGCUCGCCGGACUUGGGAUCUCUGCGCGGUCACCUGUGCUCGGCUGAGCCGUGGUCUGGAGCGACCACAUGGCGAGGGGACUGGACAUCGGAGUUUAGAGCGUCGCCGUGAUCCAAGCGCCACGGUCGGUCAACUCUGCUCCGGUCGACGGUGAGUUUCCCCUCCGCACUCCGUUGCAUCUUCUAUGUUGGCGCUCGGUGUGGCGAUCUAGGAGCUGUCGGGGAGGAUCCUGUGCGCCGAGCCGUAGAUAGAAGAUGAUGGCAUGGCCAUCGGUAAGGGGAAGAAGGCGAGCCCAGGGCCAUCGACCUCGUGAUGAACGGUUAAGAUUAGAAGAAAGGGUAGAAGAAGCCGGGGCCAUAGGAUGCGAUCCGAACGGCCACGAUCAAAUCGCAGAUACCCUUUUGGGCGAUGGAAGCUAGACCGUAGAUCCGAGAUCCAAGGGCCCUGAUGGCAUACCGGUUCGGUAAAGUGAGCAUUUCAUCUAGGUCCUUGGUGUCUAAUCCAACGGCUCAAAAUAGAUCUUACCCCUUCGCCGUGCACUUUUCUUAAAGAGCCCCUUUGUUUUCUAGAAAAUAACCCGUCGUCCAUGCGGGUGUGGUUCUGAGUGUUGAGAACAUUUGCGCAGGGGACCCUGUACUUUACAGAAUUUGAUGCGCGGUCCAGAGAGAUAGAAAAAUCAGAAAAAUAAAUUUAGAAAAUGAUUUUAAUGUGAAAAUAAAUGCUAGAAACUUGUAAAAUUCAUAGUUAAUUCAUUUUAACUCCAAAUUGAGUCAUUUCAGUUCCUAUAAUUUUGUAUUAAUAUUGUCUAUCAACCAGUAACACUAGUUAGCCAUGAAGAUUGAAUUAAAAUUGUUCAUUUGGAUUAAUCUAUUCUAAGCACUAAAUAAUUUCGGAAAUUCAUAACCGUAGCUCCGAAUUUAGUGGUUCUUGUUCCUACGAUCUCGUAGCAACGUGUAGAUUAUUAUUAUACAAUUUGUUCUUAUAUUUGGUGUAAUGUUAAUUUUGCCUAUACCAUGUUUGUCUGUAUUGCUACGACUAGCAGCGAGGUUACGAGUCACCUGAAGAUCAUCCUGGUAUACCUGGAAUCUCAAGUCCCAGGCAAGUUGUGCCCUUGAUCACUUCUUUUUACCCACUCAUGUUCUAAUUAAUCAUAAUGAUCUGCAUAGGUUAAUUUUGAUGGGACCCAAUAGGUUACCCUAGUUUGAGUAUCUUUAUACCUUGUUUACCACUAAACUUUUUGGGUAGUACUUGCUAGUGCUUUAUGUGGUUUUGGGUAUGAAGAUACAUUAUUCAUGAUCACACUUUUAUUAUCUGUUUAUUAUCACUGUUCAUGAUAAGAUCAUUAUGUUAAUUGGAACAUGGAGCGACCACCCGGGAAAACAGUGCUACCACAAGGGUUUAAUGGGACGCCCUUGGCUAAUUAAUUAGGAAAGCUAGUGGAGGACUACCUUACCCGAAAGGGGCAAGGGCAGUAGGGGAGUGGUCAGUGUAGGGAGGCCCUCGGGAGGAUUUUGCUGCGAUGGCGGUCCUGCAAGGGAUUCCUGCAUUGGAGCUUCCUAUAAACUGUAGCGGGUUUUCUGAAGCUAGUGGAACUUUGUAAAGGCCUCGUAGUGUUACCCUGCCUCGCCUCCUCGGUAGAGGUGUAUGGGAAGUCGCGAUCCCUUGGCAGAUGGGUAACAUGACUUGUGGGUAAAGAUGUGCAACCUCUGCAGAGUGUAAAACUGGUAUACUAGCCGUGCUCACGGUCAUGAGCAGCUCGGACCCUCACAUGAUUAAUCUAUGGAACUUAAAUUCAAUUUGUCAUAUGCAUUGCAUCGCAGGUGAUGUUGUUACUUCUGUUCUACUAUUUAAUUGGGUUGGUAUUUACUUAUACUUAGUAAUGGCUAAUAAAAUUUUGACCAACUUUAAAAGCAAUGCUCAGCUUCAGCCAUCCUCUUUGGUAAGCCUUACACUUCACAUGAGCUCCCACCUUUGGCGAGUUCAUACACAUUAUUCCCCACAACUUGUUGAGCGAUGAACGUAUGUGAGCUCACUCUUGCUGUCUCACACCCCCACAGGUCAAGAACAGGUACCGCAGGAUGAGGCGCUUGGAGGAUGCUGCGAUGUGUUCGUGAGAGGUCUAGGCCGUCGUCUCCCAGUCAACUUUGGUUGCUGGACCGUUGUCUCCUUAUAAUGUAUUUAUUUAUUUAUUUUGUAUAGAACUCCUGUUAUGUAGUAAAGAUGUGACAUUCGAUCCUGUGCCAUGAAUCAUCAUAUGUGUGAGACUUGGUCCCAGCACACCUGGUGAUUAUGUUCGCGCCCGGGUUUUGGACCCCUAAAAUCCGGGUGUGACAGAAGUGGUAUCAGAGGAAUGUUGACUGUAGGACGAAACCUAGAUAGAAAUAGACAAACCUUUACCUACUUACCUUACUCUGAUUCUUCUAUACUUUUCUUGAUCUAAUCUCAUCUUCUACUGUUCUACUCUGAUUAACCUUACCUUUGCUACUCUGAUUCUUUUCUAAACUUAUCUCAAUCCUUUCUCAUCUAUUUCCGCUUUGCUCUGAUUAUUCUACCAUGUUCCUUCUAAAGACAAAAGUGGAUUUCAUACUUUGAAACCCUGUGCCUAAAGUGACUUUAGGAAUAGGAGACCUACUCUUAGGAACAAAAAUAAAACUAUUUUUUAUAGAUAUCUAUGCGCUUGAGUGUUUGUUCUUAUGAUAUCUGUUUGAUUUAGAUCUUUGAUUGAGUGUGGUGAAUUAUGGAGUAAUGUCCGCAAUUACAUCUGCAUAUACAUAUAGGCAUAAAUAAAAUUCAUAAGAUAACCACACAACUUAGAUUAUCCUCCAUUAAAAUGUAUCUAUUUCAUAGAGAUUCCUCUUAUCUUAAAAGAUUCUUUCUUAUCUUAAUAGAUCUGACUAAUCUCAAAAGAUUCUAUCCUAUUCUUAGAGAUACAUCUUGUUCUAAUAAGCAUACUUAUCCCCACCACCUUGCUUAUUUCAUAAUGUCGUAACAAACACGAUCUAUUCCAAAAUUAAAUUAAGUAUACUUUAUCCAGUCUAAUCUGAUUACACCAAUUUAAUUCUGAUCCCAUCUAAUUUGAUCGGAUCUAACCUAAUGGACAAACAUGUUAGAUAAUACUGGUAAAAUAAGAUUGGAUCCUACUCUUAUAAAUAUGUUUUAAUCCAAGUUGGACUAAGAUUCCAAUUUAGACUAGACCACAUACAACAACCUUGCCAUAUGCAACUACCUUAACCACUCGAUAGUUACAUAACCCCUCUGUUUUAACCAACAGGGAUUUUGACCUACCUCAUAUAGCCUGCCCUACCCACAGCUAUCUUAUCCAAGACACCACUACGAAGAAGAUCAACCUCAUCAAGGAAAGGAUAAGAGUCAUCGUCAAGGAUAAAAGUUAAACCAGAUCUCUAGAUGCAUCAAGAUCCACCAUCCAGGAUAGAAGUUUUUCUUGCCUAACCUUCUCUUAUCCUAAGCUUUUCUAAAUCUUACUUAUUAGCUAAAACAUAAUAUGCACAUGUUUUCUAGCCACACUUGCUAAUGAAGAGAAACUUUUGGAAGCAUUAAAACUAAUUGAAAACGAAAAGUAAAAAAAAACUUUCUAUAUCCCUUUCUUGCUAAUCUCGAGGACGAGAUUAUUUUUAAGGGGGUAGGAUUUGUAAUACCCAAAAUCUUAGAAAUAAAAUAGAAUCCUUGAUUAUAUGAUUUUGUGACUAUAUUUUUGCAUAUCAACAAUGUGGGUCCAGUUAAGGCAAAUAAUAAUUAUCUAAAUAUAUAAAUUGUGCAUCAUGCUGGGUCUUUAAAUGUGCACUUGACUUAGAUUUAAACUUCAAAAUGCAGUUCGAAUUUAGAAUUAAAUUUUAGUAAAGAAAUUAAAAAUAGACAAAAAAGAGAGAAAGGAGAGAAUUAAAUCGAGCUAACCAUAAAAUGGCCAGACCAUUUCACUCGACAUGCAAGCAUGAGCGUGCAUAGAUUUUUUUUAACCCUUUUCUUAUUUCUUUAUUCUUUCUAUCGGCUGCUUCAUGACGAUAUCCAUGGGCCCCAGCGCUAACAGGUCACAGCGGUUGUUGUGCUCUACAGAGACUAUCAUGUGGGCCCUAUUCUCUAGAAUUGUAUCCAUGCAUAGUUUGUUACGUACGAAUCAAAUCAGGUAACCGUCCAUGCAUGCGGUUUCUGCGGGCGGGCUCAUUGCGAUUAGGAGCAGGUUGUUGAGAUCCGAAAUUUCUGCCAGAUGCCAACUGAACCAGCUCCUGAGUAUUAAAACCGAACCCCCGUGACUCCCUGCACUAUCUCAUCCGCUGCUGGGAGCUUGCAAUCUUCCAGGAACGUUUUUUUGGUGCUAGCCGAGAGAGAAUCGAGAGGAAGAGAGAGAGAAAACCAUGCGCUGUAGCCUGCUUGUGAAGCCACAAGGCCUCGGCUGGUCGCUCAGGAGGGAUCUCACCGGUGGGCGCUAGAAGGUUGGACAACCGAUGUCGCGGGGUGUGAAGCUCGCCGGACUUGGGAUCUCUGCGCGGUCACCUGUGCUCGGCUGAGCCGUGGUCUGGAGCGACCACAUGGCGAGGGGACUGGACAUCGGAGUUUAGAGCGUCGCCGUGAUCCAAGCGCCACGGUCGGUCAACUCUGCUCCGGUCGACGGUGAGUUUCCCCUCCGCACUCCGUUGCAUCUUCUAUGUUGGCGCUCGGUGUGGCGAUCUAGGAGCUGUCGGGGAGGAUCCUGUGCGCCGAGCCGUAGAUAGAAGAUGAUGGCAUGGCCAUCGGUAAGGGGAAGAAGGCGAGCCCAGGGCCAUCGACCUCGUGAUGAACGGUUAAGAUUAGAAGAAAGGGUAGAAGAAGCCGGGGCCAUAGGAUGCGAUCCGAACGGCCACGAUCAAAUCGCAGAUCCCCUUUUGGGCGAUGGAAGCUAGACCGUAGAUCCGAGAUCCAAGGGCCCUGAUGGCAUACCGGUUCGGUAAAGUGAGCAUUUCAUCUAGGUCCUUGGUGUCUAAUCCAACGGCUCAAAAUAGAUCUUACCCCUUCGCCGUGCACUUUUCUUAAAGAGCCCCUUUGUUUUCUAGAAAAUAACCCGUGGUCCAUGCGGGUGUGGUUCUGAGUGUUGAGAACAUUUGCGCAGGGGACCCUGUACUUUACAGAAUUUGAUGCGCGGUCCAGAGAGAUAGAAAAAUCAGAAAAAUAAAUUUAGAAAAUGAUUUUAAUGUGAAAAUAAAUGCUAGAAACUUGUAAAAUUCAUAGUUAAUUCAUUUUAACUCCAAAUUGAGUCAUUUCAGUUCCUAUAAUUUUGUAUUAAUAUUGUCUAUCAACCAGUAACACUAGUUAGCCAUGAAGAUUGAAUUAAAAUUGUUCAUUUGGAUUAAUCUAUUCUAAGCACUAAAUAAUUUCGGAAAUUCAUAACCGUAGCUCCGAAUUUAGUGGUUCUUGUUCCUACGAUCUCGUAGCAACGUGUAGAUUAUUAUUAUACAAUUUGUUCUUAUAUUUGGUGUAAUAUUAAUUUUGCCUAUACCAUGUUUGUCUGUAUUGCUACGACUAGCAGCGAGGUUACGAGUCACCUGAAGAUCAUCCUGGUAUACCUGGAAUCUCAAGUCCCAGGCAAGUUGUGCCCUUGAUCACUUCUUUUUACCCACUCAUGUUCUAAUUAAUCAUAAUGAUCUGCAUAGGUUAAUUUUGAUGGGACCCAAUAGGUUACCCUAGUUUGAGUAUCUUUAUACCUUGUUUACCACUAAACUUUUUGGGUAGUACUUGCUAGUGCUUUAUGUGGUUUUGGGUAUGAAGAUACAUUAUUCAUGAUCACACUUUUAUUAUCUGUUUAUUAUCACUGUUCAUGAUAAGAUCAUUAUGUUAAUUGGAACAUGGAGCGACCACCCGGGAAAACAGUGCUACCACAAGGGUUUAAUGGGACGCCCUUGGCUAAUUAAUUAGGAAAGCUAGUGGAGGACUACCUUACCCGAAAGGGGCAAGGGCAGUAGGGGAGUGGUCAGUGUAGGGAGGCCCUCGGGAGGAUUUUGCUGCGAUGGCGGUCCUGCAAGGGAUUCCUGCAUUGGAGCUUCCUAUAAACUGUAGCGGGUUUUCUGAAGCUAGUGGAACUUUGUAAAGGCCUCGUAGUGUUACCCUGCCUCGCCUCCUCGGUAGAGGUGUAUGGGAAGUCGUGAUCCCUUGGCAGAUGGGUAACAUGACUUGUGGGUAAAGAUGUGCAACCUCUGCAGAGUGUAAAACUGGUAUACUAGCCGUGCUCACGGUCAUGAGCAGCUCGGACCCUCACAUGAUUAAUCUAUGGAACUUAAAUUCAAUUUGUCAUAUGCAUUGCAUCGCAGGUGAUGUUGUUACUUCUGUUCUACUAUUUAAUUGGGUUGGUAUUUACUUAUACUUAGUAAUGGCUAAUAAAAUUUUGACCAACUUUAAAAGCAAUGCUCAGCUUCAGCCAUCCUCUUUGGUAAGCCUUACACUUCACAUGAGCUCCCACCUUUGGCGAGUUCAUACACAUUAUUCCCCACAACUUGUUGAGCGAUGAACGUAUGUGAGCUCACUCUUGCUGUCUCACACCCCCACAGGUCAAGAACAGGUACCGCAGGAUGAGGCGCUUGGAGGAUGCUGCGAUGUGUUCGUGAGAGGUCUAGGCCGUCGUCUCCCAGUCAACUUUGGUUGCUGGACCGUUGUCUCCUUAUAAUGUAUUUAUUUAUUUAUUUUGUAUAGAACUCCUGUUAUGUAGUAAAGAUGUGACAUUCGAUCCUGUGCCAUGAAUCAUCAUAUGUGUGAGACUUGGUCCCAGCACACCUGGUGAUUAUGUUCGCGCUCGGGUUUUGGACCCCUAAAAUCCGGGUGUGACACGAGUGGGGCGAGAGUCUUGCGAGACCGUGACAACCGCGUUUGUGUCACGGCCGCCACCGUGUACCGGAGGGAACGAGGCCCACGGUGUUUCGGCCGGAAGCUCGAUAGUGGAGACGGCGGGGAGCGUCCGAGAGGAGCCGGAAGCGGAGCACCACUUGCGCGUGGAGAAGGCUCGCGGCUCUCUACGGAGUUACUCGACCGUGGUGCUUGGCCCUCGCGUGGGCUUCCCUUUUGCGUAGGGGCACCAACGAGGAUUAGUCGGGACCUUGCGCGGUUCUGGAUACCUCGGUAAAAAUACCGGCGUCAUCCACGAGAGUUUGCUUCUCUACUUAGCUCUUUACAUUCCGCAUUUAUAUUAAGCAUUUAAGUUUCAAUCUUGUAGUCAUACUUAUUUAGUGUAGAUUGAAACUUAGCCUUUGCGGUAGAGAUAGCAACACUUAGACAAAACCUAGUUUGUUCAUUGUCGUUUUGAUUAUUUGCAUAGGUUUUGCUCUAGGGAUUUAAUUGUGGCCUAGUUUAGUAAAAGUUUUAUAAGUCCUAAUUCACCCCCCCCCUCUUAGGCGUCACCCGUUUCCUACAGGGGCUAAGAACCACCGUCGUCAUGGGAGUACGCGGGGUGCCAUCAUUACUUGUUUACCGGGGUGAGCCAGAUGGGAUGCCAGUCUUGUUCCCCGUAGCCUGAGCUAGCUAGGGGUAGGGUAAUGAUGUACCCCCCUGUGGCGUGGUAAGGCCGAGCCCUGGGUCGGGCGAGGCGGUGACUCCUCCGAGGUAGAGGUUGAGGCCGAGCCCUGGGGUCGGGCGAGGCGAAGACCGUCUUCCGAGGUCGAGGUUGAGGCCGAGCCCUGGGGUCGGGCGUGGCAGAGACCAUCUUCCGAGGCCGAGGCAGGGGCCGAGCCCUGGGGUCGGGCGAGGCGGAGACCACCUUCCGAGGCCGAGGCAGGGGCCGAGCCCUGGGUCGGGAGAGGCGGAGCUUCCUGUUGCGCCUGAGGCCGGACUUAGCUAUUGUCAGCCUCACCCUGGCAGGUGGCACAACAGUCGGAGCAGGGCAGGCGACGCUGUUUUCCUGUCAGGUCAGUCAGUGGAGGGGCGAAGUGACUGUGGCCACUUCGGCCCUGUCGACUGAGGAAUGUGUGUCAGGAUAAGGUGUCAGGCGAUCCUCGCAUUGAAUACUCCUGCGAUACGGUCGGUUGGCGAGGCGAUCUGGCCAAGGUUGCUUCACUGCGAAGCCUGCCCGAGCUGGGCCUCGGGCGAGUCGAGGGUGCGCCCGUUGCUUGAGGAGGCCCUCGGGCGAGGCGUGAAUUCGCCUGGGUCUACUGUUCCUGCCCGAGGCUGGGUUCGGGCGAGGCGAGAUCGCGUCCCUUGAGUGGACGGGGCCUUGACUUGACUUGCGCCCAUCAGGCUCUGCAGCUUGUGCUGAUGGUGAUUACCAGCCGAGUUUAGGAGUCUUGGGGGUACCCCUAAUUAUGGUCCCCGACAUUAAUGUUAAUAUCAGGAGGGUGGUCAUUCCCUCCCUGGUCGAGUUUUUUUAUAUAUUGCUAGUACUCAAAUAUCAUUUGUUAGGAUCGUUUGAAUCAAUACUUAUUUCAUAUUAAACUACUGUAUCCCAGGCUAUAAUUUUAGGGAAUACACGAUGCAUUACAGCUGAUCAGGCAAAAGAAUAACAAAGAAAAUUUACUUGCAGAAAUCAUGCUGGCAUUUAAUUUCCAUAUAAUCACAAAUUUAGAACUAAACGAAAACUUGUGUGGACUUACAAGUUUCUUAAAAAGGCUAUAUAAAAACUGGACGCAUCUGUAAUGCCAAAGGAGGCACAUCAGACAGCCAAUGAAUGAACAUGUCUGGCAGCCUUCUUUGCUUCCUCUAUGAGCUCUGGGCCUUAGUCCAGAUGAUUCCUUGGUGAACAGUGCAGUCUGUUUGUUAAAUUCAAAAGAUCAAAAGGCACACGAUCUUGUGGAAUGCUUUAGUAGGGUCAUGACUCAUGAGUUGGCUUAUGGAAACAGAAAAUAACAGAAAUGGAGCAAACUGGUCGAGUAGAAGUGUGUAAUGAAGCAAGGAUGUAUAUAAGUAACAAAGUGGGAACACAAAGAGAGAAGGCUUGCCCUUACCAUCCAUGGUGGCUGAUUAAGCUUGCACCCCCAGUGAACAAGCAACCUAUAUGAAUGUUUACCCAAUUUUUAUGCCCUCCUAUGCAUUGAAUAAUUGAAUUUAAUGUCAUCUUUUAACCGAACCAACUUUUUGUACAGGUGAAACUGGAAGAACGUAUGAAGCUAGACUUGUUGCAAUUUAUAGACAUGUAAGAGAGAACGGAGUUGAGGGACAACCUAUUUCUGUUUCAACAGAACAAUUUGUAGUAAGUCAAAUCACCUCUCAUACUAUGAUCUUGCAACUGUUUCUUUCUCUCUUUUCUAAGAAUAACUAUUGCAUUAACAUAUUUUACUAACUUGUAUAAAUUGUUAUUUUCAAGAGAUUUUAUGUACUGUCUCUUUACAUACAAUGCUAAUUGCCACAUCCACAAUCUUGCAGAACUUUGAAUGGCAACCAGUUAUCUAGAUCUUUGCCUGAUGCGAUUGGUUACCUGAUGAACUUUAACAGAUUACAAAUAAAAGAUAACAACAUAUCAGGCCCAUACCUAACUCUUUUGCCAACUUAACAAGAAUUAAACAUCUGUAAGUGUCGAGUAUCUUUAUUUUCUGCCCAUCCUGAUGCUUCUGAUUUGUAAAAUUAGUAAAUAAUUAUGGUUCCAAUUUUACCUUUUAGUCACAUGAAUAUUAACUCAUUACAAAUCCCAUCUGAGUUGUCUAGCUUGCCUUGACUCCUUCAUUUGUAAGUAGACCUCAACUUUUUCUCUAAUAUUUUCUAUUUUGCAAGUUGCAGAUUACUUGUAAGUUGACAUGUCUUGUGCUGUGAACUUGCAGCCUUGUUGAUAACAAUAAUUUCUAUUUUGCAAGUUGUAGAUUACUUGUAAUUUGUUUCGUUUAUUGAGUAACACUAUCAUCAUUAUGUCGUUCCUACCGCACUUUCCACAUAUCUUUCAUAAGCGGAUAUUGUUUUCAAUAGUUUUGUGAUUACCAGUCCAUGGAUUACGAUGGACUAAAUGCAAAUGACAUAGGCUUGUAUAGAUCAAGAACCAUGCUAACAGUGAUGAAGAAAGAUGAAUGAAGACUAAUGAUGGUGAACUUAUUUAUUAGCUCAUAGAAAGGUCACAUAGUUUUAUACAAAGUGAUCACCAUUGAGACCGAACACACGACUAAUACAAAUAGAGAACAAAUCAUUACUACUAAGUUUCAUCUAAAACAUAACUAACAAAGUAUCUACUAUAACAAGCUAGAACACGUCUCAAUCAGAUAUCACAGUUG